rnacentral:rRNA from 1 species
AUUGAACGCUGGCGGCAUGCUUUUCACAUGCAAGUCGAACGGUAACAGGUUAAGCUGACGAGUGGCGAACGGGUGAGUAAUGCAUCGGAACGUGCCCGGUCGUGGGGGAUAACACUUCGAAAGAAGUGCUAAUACCGCAUACGAUCUGAGGAUGAAAGCGGGGGACCGUAAGGCCUCGCGCGAUCGGAGCGGCCGAUGUCAGAUUAGGUAGUUGGUGGGGUAAAGGCCCACCACGCCGACGAUCUGUAGCUGGUCUGAGAGGACGACCAGCCACACUGGGACUGAGACACGGCCCAGACUCCGACGGGAGGCAGCAGUGGGGAAUUUUGGACAAUGGGCGCAAGCCUGAUCCAGCAAUGCCGCGUGCAGGAAGAAGGCCUUCGGGUUGUAAACUGCUUUUGUACGGAGCGAAAAGGCUCUCUCUAAUACAGGGGGCUGAUGACGGUACCGUAAGAAUAAGCACCGGCUAACUACGUGCCAGCCGCCGCCGUAACAC